rnacentral:rRNA from 1 species
AGGACGAACGCUGGCGGCGUGCCUAACACAUGCAAGUCGAACGAGGUCCAUCCGGUAGCAAUACCGGUGAAGAUCAAGUGGCGAACGGGUGAGUAGCACGUGAGCAACCUGCCCCGAAGACCGGGACAACACCGGGAAACCGGUGCUAAUACCGGAUGUCCCCACCGAGUCGCAUGGCUUGGUGAGGAAAUGGAUUCCGCUUCGGGAGGGGCUCGCGGCCUAUCAGCUUGUUGGUGAGGUAAUGGCUCACCAAGGCUUCGACGGGUAGCUGGUCUGAGAGGACGAUCAGCCACACUGGGACUGAGACACGGCCCAGACUCCUACGGGAGGCAGCAGUGGGGAAUCUUGCACAAUGGGCGAAAGCCUGAUGCAGCAACGCCGCGUGAGGGACGAAGGCUUUCUGAGUUGUAAACCUCUUUCAGCAGGGACGAUUGUGACGGUACCUGCAGAAGAACGCCCGGCAACUACGUGCCAGCAGCCGCGGUAA